GAUGAAGAACGCAGCGAAAUGCGAUACGUAAUGUGAAUUGCAGAAUUCAGUGAAUCAUCGAAUCUUUGAACGCACAUUGCGCCCCCUGGUAUUCCGGGGGGCAUGCCUGUCCGAGCGUCAUUACAACCCUCAAGCUCAGCUUGGUAUUGGGCCCCGCCGCUCCGGCGGGCCCUAAAGUCAGUGGCGGUGCCGUCCGGCUCCGAGCGUAGUAAUUCUUCUCGCUCUGGAGGCCCGGUCGUGUGCUCGCCAGCAACCCCCAAUUUUUUUCAGGUUGACCUCGGAUCAGGUAGGGAUACCCGCUGAACUUAAGCAUAUCAAUAAGCGGAGGA
rnacentral:misc_RNA from 1 species